rnacentral:rRNA from 1 species
UACGUAGGUGGCAAGCGUUAUCCGGAUUUACUGGGUGUAAAGGGCGUGUAGGCGGGAAAGCAAGUCAGAUGUGAAAACCAUGGGCUCAACCUGUGGCCUGCAUUUGAAACUGUUUUUCUUGAGUACUGGAGAGGCAGACGGAAUUCCUAGUGUAGCGGUGAAAUGCGUAGAUAUUAGGAGGAACACCAGUGGCGAAGGCGGCUUGCUGGACGAUGACUGACGUUGAGGCUCGAAGGCGUGGGGAGCAAACAGG